rnacentral:rRNA from 1 species
CCACUGACUAAGGGAUAACCUGCCGAAAGGCAGACUAAUACCUUAUGGUCUUCACUGACGGCAUCAGAUGUGAAGUAAAGAUUUAUCGGUAAUGGAUGGGGAUGCGUCUGAUUAGCUUGUUGGCGGGGUAACGGCCCACCAAGGCAACGAUCAGUAGGGGUUCUGAGAAGAAGGUCCCCCACAUUGGAACUGAGACACGGUCCAA